ensembl:lncRNA
GAAGACUAUGGAAGUACAUGUAUCAGCACAAAACAAAAUCUGGCACUCUGACCUUUAAGUAGUCUAGAUAAGGCUUGUGUUGCACUCCAAUACAAAAGCAAACCAAACCCCAAACCUUAUGCUGAAAUGUAUCAGUUUCUGCUUAUGAUGGGUUUUUCCGGGACUGAAUUCUGCCUGUACUUGGUCCAUAGGCUGAGCGGCACAUCCGGAGGGUUUACAACAAAAAUCAACUUCGUGUGAAUUCCUGAUGUGGGUAUGAGGGGAGAGAGAGGUUUUUAAAUUGGCAGCUGCUGGUUAUUGAGUUUGAAAUGAUAGGCUGCAUGAGUAAAACCUCGAUAACCGGUCAGACCUUUAUCACGUGCUGGUGAAGAUUUGUUACUUAUUCUGUAGUUUUGUGCUGAACGAAUAAUCUGAAUAUCCCGGGAUAGCAAAGCUCCACUCGAGCACUAAGCCUUCUGAAUGAAUGGCAAUGAAUAAUAACCCAUGUACGUGUUCUGCCCAUGUGAGGCUGGUGAUUUCUUGUUUUCAUUUUCAAUGCAUUUGUCCAAAAUGUGAAAAGGUAUUUUCGUAGUAGGUGUGUUAUGGGUUCCAGCAGGCAGCUGGGGAUGGAGCGGGUGUUCGGAGAAGGAGGGACCGCCACGACUGAGGCUUUCUCCCAAAUAUGAGAUUAAUGCAGUCGUGAUGUUACCCGGUUUUCUCCUCCUGCAGCAAGAAAGACCUUGGGGAGGUUUGGUGCACCAUUGGGUUCAUAUAAAAAGGCAUGUCUCUCACAUAUACUGUGGCGCGUUUUGGAAGUGGAUGUUUACGCCCAGUCGAGUUUUUUGUCAUGUUGAUUUUACAGGUGGUGGUGGUGUUAGGAGAUGAUAUCUGUGCCCUGCCAUCACCCCCUUCGCACCCGCUCAGAGCUUAUGGAGCAAUUCAAUUCCCAGUAGUCCACCAUCAACCAGGUUUCAGUGUCAUCCUGCUGAAGUCUCUGGAGGGAAAAUGUGUACAAUUCCCUGUUUAGGAGGUUGAUGAAAGCUUUUGAAAACUCCUUAUCGUUGCUUAAAACCUGAAUACUCAACAUAAGGGGCUUUUCCAGCCUUUGGGUGACCAGCUCCUUCCCCUCUGAAACCAGCGGAAAUUUGAUGGAGCUCCGGGUACUUCCAAAAACGUGUUGCCCACCUUUAAGAUUCUUUUCAAGUAGGCAUUAAUGUGUCUAAUCAGAUAUUUAUCAUAAUUUGAAUUCUUUUCUAACAGAGUGGCCUAGUGUUCAUGUGGACCAGCUAUUUUCCCACGCAACCUUGACAUGGUUUUAUUUAUUUUUAUUUAAUCUGUUGAGAACUGUAUUUAUGUCCAACCAGACCAUUGAUCACUUUUAGUCCGGACCCACCUGCACACUGCAUGGCCACACUCAAUCCAAAUGCUAUUACCUGCCAACGUUAUUAACCAUAACGAGAAAAGUUGGGGAGGCAGAGUUGGGAACCAAGAGGAUAAUCUGGACUUUGGUUUGGAAACUAAAACUAGUUGAUCUGUUUUAACUUUAAGGAAAAAAAAAAAAAGAUUAAAAAAAAAAGA